ACUCAAAGGAAUUGACGGGGGCCCGCACAAGCGGCGGAGCAUGUGGCUUAAUUCGAUGCAACGCGAAGAACCUUACCUGGGUUUGACAUGCUAGUUAAAGCCGGUGAAAGCCGGUGUCCGUAAGGGGCUAGCACAGGUGCUGCAUGGCUGUCGUCAGCUCGUGCCGUGAGGUGUUGGCUUAAGUGCCGCAACGAGCGCAACCCCUGCUCUUAGUUGCCAGCGGGUAAUGCCGGGGACUCUAAGAGGACUGCCGGGGACAACUCGGAGGAAGGUGGGGAUGAUGUCAAGUCAGCAUGGCCCUUAUACCCAGGGCUGCACACAUGCUACAUUGCGCGUUACAGAGGGCUGCGAUCCCGCAAGGGGGAGCGAAUCCCAAAAAAGCGCGCCUGGUUCGGAUUGGGGUCUGCAACUCGACCCCAUGAAGUCGGAGUCGCUAGUAAUCGCAGAUCAGCAACGCUGCGGUGAAUACGUUCCCGGGCCUUGUACACACCGCCCGU
rnacentral:rRNA from 1 species